GAUUUGCUUUCUCCACUCUAAACAAUCUAAACGAUUUUGGGUUAAAAUGCUUUUAUAAAAGUAUAAAUUAAUUCCUUUCCACAACUGCCUUUGCCUUUCUCAUGUGAACAAAAAAUUCAUGCAAGCAUACAUUUUUGUUGUUUCUUUUGCUUUAUAAUGAAAUCAAAAUUUAUUAAAAAUUUAAGAAAGCAAAAGUAAGAACUUGAAUUAAAUGGAGCUUCAACUUUUUUGAGCAUUAAUCUACUCAUGUCCCAAAAUUUUCUUUCACUGUUCUUUAUUUUGUCCUUAACUGGAACUGAAUGGCAUUUAAGUUUUGUGCUUGUUUUGUGAUAGCAGAACUUUUAAAUGGUUCUUACUGUGGUUAUUGAUAGUUUCUUCAUCCUUCUACCUUGACCAUAUGUUAAACUUUCAGCAACUUGCUGAUUGUCAUCUUCCGUUUUAGGAGUAUUUUGGAUCACUAAUAG
rnacentral:misc_RNA from 1 species